GAUGAAGAACGUAGCGAAAUGCGAUACGUAAUGUGAAUUGCAGAAUUCAGUGAAUCAUCGAGUCUUUGAACGCACAUUGCGCCCCCUGGUAUUCCGGGGGGCAUGCCUGUCCGAGCGUCAUUGCUGCCCUCAAGCACGGCUUGUGUGUUGGGCCUCCGCCCCCCCGGCUCCCGGGGGGCGGGCCCGAAAGGCAGCGGCGGCACCGCGUCCGGUCCUCGAGCGUAUGGGGCUUCGUCACCCGCUCCGUAGGCCCGGCCGGCGCCCGCCGGCGACCCCCCUCAAUCUUUCCAGGUUGACCUCGGAUCAGGUAGGGAUACCCGCUGAACUUAAGCAUAUCAAUAAGCGGAGGA
rnacentral:misc_RNA from 1 species